rnacentral:rRNA from 1 species
GACGAACGCUGGCGGCGUGCUUAACACAUGCAAGUCGAACGGAAAGGCCCUGCUUUUGUGGGGUGCUCGAGUGGCGAACGGGUGAGUAACACGUGAGUAACCUGCCCUUGUCUUUGGGAUAACUUCAGGAAACUGGGGCUAAUACCGGAUAGGAGCUCCUGCUGCAUGGUGGGGGUUGGAAAGUUUCGGCGGUUGGGGAUGGACUCGCGGCUUAUCAGCUUGUUGGUGGGGUAGUGGCUUACCAAGGCUUUGACGGGUAGCCGGCCUGAGAGGGUGACCGGCCACAUUGGGACUGAGAUACGGCCCAGACUCCUACGGGAGGCAGCAGCGGGGAAUAUUGCACAAUGGGCGGAAGCCUGAUGCAGCAACGCCGCGUGCGGGAUGACGGCCUUCGGGUUGUAAACCGCUUUCGCCUGUGACGAAGCGUGAGUGACGGUAAUGGGUAAAGAAGCACCGGCUAACUACGUG